CCAAACUCAUUUCUGAUGAUUUCUUCCAUCCUACCCUUUCUGCCUCUCUGGGGGUGGCUGUGCCUGUAAAAAACAUUGAAGCUGUCAGGAACAGAGUCUGCUUUCAAGACUGGAAUGUCAGAGUAGAGACUUCUGUUCCUCAGACCAGAAGGGACUUGAUUUGAUCGUGGACUACAGACAGCACAAGACUAUGAUCCCUAAGAAAAAGAAAACAGAUGAGAUUUGUAUUCUCUGAUGUCUCCCCUUUCCUACAUUUGGUGCUUCUCUGAUUUAAUUGUUUGGAAGCAGUCACUGGAAGCAAGGCUAUGUGACUCAGCUUUGGUGAUGCAGUCCAGCUGGGGUC